rnacentral:rRNA from 1 species
GACGAACGCUGGCGGCGUGCUUAACACAUGCAAGUCAAGGGGGCCCAGCAAUGGGCAACCGGCGAACGGGUGCGUAACACGUGAGCAACCUACCGAACUGUGGGGGAUAGCCGGCCUAACAGCCGAGUAAUACCGCAUACGCUCUCAGUGAGGCAUUUCAUUGAGAGGAAACCUACGGGACAGAUCGAGGGGCUCGCGGCCUAUCAGCUAGUUGGCGAGGUAACGGCUCACCAAGGCAACGACGGGUAGCUGGUCUGAGAGGAUGGCCAGCCACAUUGGGACUGAGAUACGGCCCAGACUCCUACGGGAGGCAGCAGUGGGGAAUCUUGCGCAAUGGCCUAACGGCUGACGCAGCGACGCCGCGUGUGGGAUGAAGCUCUUCGGAGUGUAAACCACUGUUGCCCGGGACGAACACACCUUUUCGAGGGUGCUGACGGUACCGGUGGAGGAGCACGGCUAACUCUGUGCCAGCAGCCGCCG